GUAUGGUUCUCAAUCAGGGACAGCUGUCUAUCGUUGUCUCUGAUUGGGAACCAUACUUAGGCAGCCCUUUUUCCCACCUGUCCUUGUGGGCAGUAAACUUUGUUUGUGGCACUUUGCCCUGUAAGCUUCACGGUCGUUUUUGUAUUGUUUAUUGGUUUUGCUGGCGACAUUCAAUGAAGAGGAAAAUGCUCCAUAAACAGCUGGAUCGAAAACUGUUUUGAUGAUCUGGAGCACAAAGGAUCUACAGAUGCUCCCACCAAAUCCAUCGGCAGAAGGCUGUCCAAGCCCCCCCCCUCCCUUUCUUCUGUCUCCUCAGGGCCCUUCUUGGAGUUCACAGCAAAGGACACAGGCACUCCAAGCCCAGAGGCGCUUAGCUACCACUCUCAUCCCUCAGUACCCAAUCAGGCCUCUGCUUUCCAGGGCAGUGCUGCUGGUGCUAACUAAACAGGCAGCGUCUGCCGAUGGAAAAAUUCUGAUUUUAAUCAGGGGGAAGCAAAUGCUGAUUUUCUGCCCUAAUUACUAAUCUUCGUGUUUCAUGGAGAGAAACCCUGGAAGUCUUUAGAUGUGCUGGGUGAUGGUGUGGCAAGACACGAUUCAUCAAAUCACAUGUGGACUCCUGACCUCCCUCUUAUGAGGUCCCUUGGGCUUACCCAUGAAUCUUCUCCCCCGAAAGAGGAGCCAGGCCUCAGCCUGCUAAGCGACGACUUCAAGCGCCCACACCGCUCACCAAAGAAAUGCAGCAAAUUCUCUCAGUCCACAGCCAAGUGGGAGAGCAUUGUGGAGGUCCCUGAGAAAGUACAUGUACAAGUCUAUGACCCCACCCUCAUAGACCUCUACAAGUAAUCCAAGCCCGUAAGCAGUUGUACAGCCAGCUCCCCACCAUCAAGGCCCCCAGUGACUCUGGGUGAGCUCCAUGGGGAUGAGCAAGGAGGCUAGUCUGGUGCAGCUUCCAGACAGCUCACAACACUUCACACUGGAGCCCAUCAAGGGUAAGAGGGACUCCAACUGGAGGGAGAGCCUGUACAAGCUUGUAUCCCAAUAUGGCAUCCGCUCCACAAGGGCCAGACUGUCCGCUCUUGGCCCUCUGCAUGUCCCAGGGGCUGCCCAGCGCUACCACUGCACCCUGUCCCCUCUUCAGAUUACGAAGGCCAGCAAGGUGUCCCUGGGCCAGAGGGUGGUGCGGAAGAUCAUCAUUGGAAAGGCCCCCCUCCCAGUUCCACCAUGGGCUGCCCCUGCCCUGGCAGCUCAACAGCCACAUCAUGGACCCCUCUGGAGAGCAUGUAUGGGAGGCUGGAGGUGGAAUGGGUGAGGGAGCCAAUGGAGCCCCAGAGAGGGAAGGUGCAGGAAGUGAAGCUGCCCCGAUAAGGUCUAGGUGUCAUCCAUCCUAAUCACCAGGGGGCAGUGUGGGGCCAAGGUUCCAUUUAGGCAGUGUUAUGUUGUAUUGUCUCUGGAUAUCUGCGUGAUAAACAUCUACCAAAUUGUGAUGGAAUUGUAAUGCAUUAAGCUUGUUGUUGUAAGUUGCAAUAAAAUAUAGCUGUAUACAUUCUUA
rnacentral:lncRNA from 1 species